rnacentral:rRNA from 1 species
UACAGAGGGUGCAAGCGUUGCUCGGAUUUACUGGGCGUAAAGCGUGCGCAGACGGCCAGGCAGGUCGGGUGUGAAAGCCCCGGGCUCAACCCGGGAAUUGCAUUCGAAACCGCUAGGCUCGAGUGUGGAAGAGGGAAGCGGAAUUCCCGGUGUAGAGGUGAAAUUCGUAGAUAUCGGGAGGAACACCAGCGGCGAAGGCGGCUUCCUGGUCCAUUACUGACGUUCAGGCACAAAAGCGUGGGUAGCAAACAGG